UUUCCGUAGGUGAACCUGCGGAAGGAUCAUUAGUAGAACGGGCGGCCCCGCUCCGGCGGACGCCCACCCUCCUAAUCUCACCCUGUGCACCGUGUCCCCCUUUUUUCGCCCGCGUGCGAUAUGAAGUGAAGUCACGAAGUCGAAACGAAACACGAGAAGCAUAAAAUGAAGCAACGGAUCUCUUGGCUCUCGCAUCGAUGAAGAACGCAGC
rnacentral:misc_RNA from 1 species